rnacentral:rRNA from 1 species
GAUUGCCUACGGGGCGCAGCAGUAGGGAAUCUUCCACAAUGGACGAAAGUCUGAUGGAGCAACGCCGCGUGAGUGAAGAAGGGUUUCGGCUCGUAAAGCUCUGUUGGUAGUGAAGAAAGAUAGAGGUAGUAACUUGCCUUUUUUUGACGGUAAUUACUUAGAAAGUCACGGCUAACUACGUGCCAGCAGCCGCGGUAAUACGGAGGUGGCAAGCGUUGUCCGGAUUUAUUGGGCGUAAAGCGAGU